rnacentral:lncRNA from 1 species
AUCCCAGCUCCCAGCAGAAUGCCCCCCAUGGACCCAUGGGCAUGACCUCAGCUCCCAGCAGAAUGCCCCCCAUGGACCCAUGGUCAGUGAUCCCAGUUCCGAGCAGAAUCCCCUCCACCAUGUACCCAUGGUCAGUAAUCUCAGCUCCAAGCAGAAUGCCCCCCAUGGACCCAUGGUCAGUGAUCCCAGUUCCGAGCAGAAUUCCACCCAGGGGCCCACAGGCCCCUUCCUCCUGACCAGGAGCGCCAACGGCUCGCUUAAGACCCAGGGCACCACGUCCUUCUCAGAUGACUCUAAAAGCCCAAGAGGACGCAGGCUGUACAGCCAUGACGCUGGGCAACACUGGAAGACAACAGAGGACCGUCUGCCAUGUCCCUGUGUCGGCCUAGCUAUUUCUGCUUGGCGACAAAGUGGGGCUAAGAGACCCCCCACCUUGAAAAGUCCCCCAGUGAGGCAGGGCUCAGGAAGGCAAGCAUGUCCCCCACUGCAGCCCAAGACCCAGCGCCCUGUCCCCAAGGUUCCCACUCUCACUCAGCACCCCCCCCCAAACAAACCAGAUUCACUGCACCCUUGAACUCUGAUCUCCAAAACUCAACUCUUUUUUUGAAAUUGUGGCAAAACGGACAUAACAUAAAAUUUACCAUUUUAACCAUGUUCAAACAUAAAAUUCAGUGGCAUUAAGUAUAUUCACAAUGUUACCCAUCACCACUCGCUAGUUCCAGAAUCUUCCAUCACCUCAACAGGAAAGCCUGCACCCAUCAGUCACUCCCCGUUCCUCCCUCCUCCCGGUCCAUGGCGAUCACCAAUCUUUCUGUCUCCGGAUUUGCUUAUUCUGGGCAUUUCAUAUAAAUGGCAUCAUACACUCUGUGGCCUUUUGUGUCUGGUUUUGUGCACUCAGCGAAAUAAUUUCAAGGUUCAUGCCAACUGUGUAGCGUGUGUUGGUAUUUAUUCCUUUUCAUAGCUGCAUGAUAUUCCCCUAUGUGGAUAUGCCACAUGGAAUUUGUCCACUCUGCCACGGGUCGACAUCUGGGCUGUUUCCCCAUUUUGGCUACUGUGAAGGCAAACCCUUGACCCUUAACUAACUCCCAGUCUUUAACAGGAUUUUACAAUGUGGGGGGAGUUCCCUCAGCUGUCCUUCCUCUGCCUUGGGCAGCGCCACCUGCUCGGAUCAAGUUUCUCUCAAGAGCCUGCCCUCAGGCUGACUCUCCACACCUGGCCUCUUGCAAACCCACAUUCCUGGGGAGGAGCUGGGAGAUCAGAGCUCAGCCCACCCCUCCGCACGCUGGGCUGUCGGUAUCUUCCAUGGCGUUCCACUGUUUUUCCUGAGCCACUUAUGAUAAGCCUGCCACGGAAUCAAAGGCUUUACCCAGAUCAUCUCAUUUAAUCCCCACAACAACCGUCCGGGGCAAGCUUCUCAUCCCCCGGCUCCACAGACGAGAAAACAAGACGCGGCACAACUCCCCACUCCGCGCCCCCCAUCCCGCUCCCCUACAAUCUGCCGACGCUGGGUCCAAGCUACCAGCUCAUUCCCCCACUCGCCCAACCUCCUCCCCACCUUGGAAAACCAAGGUCCAAAAUGAGAAUAACCCAAGCGUAUCCAGCGGCAGGCCUAUGAAAACCCAAUUUUCUUCCACGAGAAAACGGAGGGGCUGCAAGACCACCAGAUACGACACCUCUAAGCCCCCCCACCCCCACCGCACACAUACCUCGGGGGGCUGCUCAUGCAGGUUCAGCGCCGGCUCCCUUGAAGGGCUCCCGGGGGGGCCUUGGCCUCCGCACUCACCCCCAGGCUGGGCGCUUGUGCAGCUGGCAGACAGGUGAGUGCACCUGGGCUGGAGGGGCGCCCAGGACCCGGUUGCGAGGUGGGGGGAGCCCAGGGGUUGGCCGUUGGCUGUCACACCUCCCUCCUGGGUCCAGCUUCCGCUGGGAAGACGGCCAGGCGCCUUCAAACACAGGCAGGCCCCCGGGGGCCAUCAGCUUCUGGCGUGGCCGAGACCACGCCCACAGCCCAUUUCCGGCGUCGACACGCCACUUCCGGUGGAGGCUCACGUGGGCUCGGAGGAGGGGGGACGGGGGCUUUUCCACCCGGGAAAAGCAGCAAAGGCUGCCAAGCAGGCCCCGCCCCAGCCAGGUGGUAACUAUUUACCUGCGGCCUCUGCCUACAGACCCGCACGGAAGAAGCUGAUCAUGGGGGGGUGGGCGGAAGAAGGCUUAGCAGAAGUUCAUUACAUAGAGUUCCCCUUGUGGCUCAGUGGUUAAGGAACCCGAGGAGCACCCAUGAGGACACGGGUUCGAGCCCUCAGUGGGGUUAAGGACCUGGCGUGCCUGCGAGCUGUGCUGGAGGUCGCAGACGUGGCUCAGGUCCCCAGUUUCUGUGGCUGUGGCGUAGGCCGGCAGCUGCAGCUCGGAUUAGACCCCGAGCCUGGGAACCUCCAUAUGCCACCGUUGCGGCCCUAAAAGACAAAAAGAAAAACAGCAAAAAAAGAGUUCAUUCCUACCAGGAAAAGCAGGGCAGAGAGGGCCCAGGCCCACCCCUGCAUCCUUCAUGAGGCAGAAAAGAGAGGUCUUUGCUCUGUCCAAGGCCCCACGGCCAGAGAGGAGUCAAGCCCAGGUCUCUAGACUCCAAGACAGCGCUCCUUCCACUGAACUCAGGGCCUCCGCAAACCAAACAUGCAGAUCAGCAGCUACCACGGAGGCCUCUACAGCCCUAAGCAGGUGGGUUGGGAGUGGGCUGCCCCUGUCUUCCUCCCAGCCUGUUACCCUCUGCCACUGCACACACACACACCUCCCCCCCUCCCCCGGCGCCCCCCAGCACCAUGGGCAUAGCACUCCUCCCCCUCCCUGCCCCAAGACAGGGUACUGGCCAACCCGGCGAGCAGGCGGACAGCAUUCCCUGGGGUAGGCUGGCCCUUCAAGAGGAUGGGUUCAGGGUGAGGUUAUGCCCAUCAGCCUUCAGAACAAAUUCGGCUCCGUUUAUUAAUUCUCCUCCGUUCUGCAGGAGAAAGUAAACAAGCUUUUCUCAGGCAGCCGAGGCCUUCCCUAUUCAAACACUGCGCGUAUCGACGGGCUUGGAAGCACUUAGCUCCCAGGCCCUGCUUCCCUGGGGGGCCCCUUGGCCUCCUGCCCAAAAGUCCCUCCUGCUGAGACAAGGCGAACGGGGCCUCUCUGGGGUGGCAGACCCCAGAGUCCCAGCGCCGGCAGUCUGGGCAUGGCCCAAGAUCUCCAGAGACAGCAUCAGAGAUCCUGGGCAUCCAGAGACCCAGGUACGGCUAAAAAAGGUCUGGCCAAGGACACAGCACCCCAACAAGCAGCACACCUGCUCACUCAGCCCCACUGGGAAGAAAGCGCUCUGUCGGUGUGCACUGACUCUUUGCUUCCACUUAAAUCGUGCUUUUAAAGGUCCAGAAGGAGGAGUUCCCUGGUGGCCUAGCAGUUUAGGAUGCAGUGUUGUCACUGCUAUGGCUUGGGUCACUGCUGUGGCACAGGUCCGAUCCCUGGCCCAGGAACUUCUGCGUGCCUCAGGCGCAAACAAAAGGGAAAAAAAGUCCAGAGGAAGAAAGGAAAUAAACAGUGACAAAUUCAAAAGGAGUCCCCCAAGUUCACUGAGAGCUGGUACAGACUUUUCAAACGAAGAUGCUACAAGCCUUUCUUGGUUGGUUGAGUGAUAGUCACUGCAUGCUUUACAACUUCUCAUGGCUUGUACAGAAAUCACACGAAUUCUUUUUUUCUGCUCUAUUUUUUUUUUUUUUCCAUUUGCCCAUCUCUUGCUCUCUCUUUUUUUUUUUUUUUCCUUUUCUUUUUGGCCGCACUCAUGGCAUGCGGACGUUCCCAAGCUAGGGAUGGAACCCGGGCCACAGCAGCAACCAGAGCCACAGCAGUGACAACACUGCAUCCUCAAUGUGCUGGGCCACCAGGGAACUCCAGCCCAUUUCUAACUUGGAAGAAAAAGCCAAAAACCACUGCAAGAAACCUAAAGUCAAGCUUUCAAGGACCAGAAAG